UACGGGGGGGGGUAAGCGUUGUUCGGAAUUACUGGGCGUAAAGGGCUCGUAGGCGGCCAACUAAGUCAUACGUGAAAUCCCUCAGCUUAACUGGGGAACUGCGUGUGAUACUGGAUGGCUUGGAUUUGGGAGAGGGAUGCGGAAUUCCAGGUGUAGCGGUGAAAUGCGUAGAUAUCUGGAGGAACACCGGUGGCGAAGGCAGCUCGCUGGGACGGUACUGACGCUGAGACGCGAAAGCGUGGGGAGCAAACAGG
rnacentral:rRNA from 1 species